rnacentral:rRNA from 1 species
CGCAUCUGUGCAUGCAGCAUAUCAAUAAGCGGAGGAAAAGAAACUAACAAGGAUUCCCCUAGUAACGGCGAGUGAAGCGGGAAGAGCUCAAAUUUGAAAUCUUAAAGGUUUUCCCUUGACGAAUUGUAGUUUAAAGAAGUGUUUUCUGUUGAAGUUUUGGUAAAAGUUCUUUGGAAUAGGACAUCAUAGAGGGUGAGAAUCCCGUAUUUGACCUUUACUUUCAACUUUGUGAUACACUUUCAAAGAGUCGGAUUGUUUGGGAAUGCAGUCCAAAAUGGGUGGUAAAUUUCAUCUAAAGCUAAAUAUUGGCGAGAGACCGAUAACGAACAAGUACCGUGAGGGAAAGAUGAAAAGAACUUUGAAAAGAGAGUUAAACAGUACGUGAAAUUGUCAAAAGGGAAGCGUUUGACACCAGUGUUGUUUUUCUGAAAAUCAAUUAAAGAACUGUUUAUGCUAAGCUGUUUAGACUUUAUCAGCUAAUCUGUUUAGUUUUGAGCUUUUCUUUAAUGCACUUUUCAGUUAACAAGUCAACAUCAAUUUCUUUUGCUGUAAAAAAGCUUGAGGAAGGUGGCUUGAGAUUCGUCUUAAGUGUUUAUAGCCUCUUGCCUAUGCAGUCGGAGAGAUUGAGGUCUGCAGCGUAGAUCCUUCGGGGCUAAAUGCAUUUGUGCUAAGUAUAUAGCAUUUUAUAGACAACUUGUUGACUAUGAUUUGUCUUGUAGCUUACUCGCUUAUGUUAUUUUACCUACGCUUAGGAUGUUGACGAGACUGUCGAUCUC